AGAGUUUGAUUAUGGCUCAGGAUGAACGCUAGCUACAGGCUUAACACAUGCAAGUCGAGGGGCAGCAUUGGAGUAGCAAUACUCAGAUGGCGACCGGCGCACGGGUGAGUAACACGUAUCCAACCUGCCGCUUACUCGGGGAUAGCCUUUCGAAAGAAAGAUUAAUACCCGAUGGUAUAAAGAGUUCGCAUGUUCUCUUUAUUAAAGAAUUUCGGUAAGCGAUGGGGAUGCGUUCCAUUAGAUAGUUGGCGGGGUAACGGCCCACCAAGUCUACGAUGGAUAGGGGUUCUGAGAGGAAGGUCCCCCACAUUGGAACUGAGACACGGUCCAAACUCCUACGGGAGGCAGCAGUGAGGAAUAUUGGUCAAUGGACGAGAGUCUGAACCAGCCAAAGUAGCGUGAAGGAUGACUGCCCUAUGGGUUGUAAACUUCUUUUAUAAGGGAAUAAAGUGAGGGACGUGUCCCUUUUUGUAUGUACCUUAUGAAUAAGGAUCGGCUAACUCCGUGCCAGCCGCGGC
rnacentral:rRNA from 1 species